AGAGUUUGAUCCUGGCUCAGGAUUAACGCUGGCGGCAUGCCUAAUGCAUGCAAAUCGAACGAAGCCUUUUAGGCUUAGUGGUGAACGGGUGAGUAACACGUAUCCAAUCUACCCUUAAGUCGGGGAUAACUAGUCGAAAGAUUAGCUAAUACCGAAUAAUAACAUCAAUAUCGCAUGAGAAGAUGUAGAAAGUCGCUCUUUGUGGCGACGCUUUUGGAUGAGGGUGCGACGUAUCAGAUAGUUGGUGAGGUAAUGGCUCACCAAGUCAAUGACGCGUAGCUGUACUGAGAGGUAGAACAGCCACAAUGGGACUGAGACACGGCCCAUACUCCUACGGGAGGCAGCAGUAGGGAAUUUUUCACAAUGGGCGCAAGCCUUAUGAAGCAAUGCCGCGUGAACGAUGAAGGUCUUAUAGAUUGUAAAGUUCUUUUAUAUGGGAAGAAACGCUAAAAUAGGAAAUGAUUUUAGUUUGACUGUACCAUUUGAAUAAGUAUCGGCUAACUAUGUGCCAGCCGCCGCGGUAA
rnacentral:rRNA from 1 species